CAAUAAAAUUGUCGAAUUCAUAUAAAAGUUUUCAUUAUUCACGUUUUCGCUCUUAGAGAAAAAUUACAUGAUCGAUGCCUAGUAUAUUUUACAGAGCUCAAUGGUGCAGGUAGACAUUAGUUUGAAAAUGGACUGAUAUUGACCAAAAUAUGCAGAUCGUGCGAGUACUGUGUUGAAACAAACUUUCGCCAAAUAUUCGAUAGUAUAGAUUGGUAACUUAUAUCAAAGAUUGAUUUUUUGGCUCGUAAUAAUCCACACAGCACACAUGUCGAAAAUACAUUCAAAGGAUGUUCUGUUGUCCCAAAAGCAUCUUCGAUAAAUCCUCUGGACAUCUUUUGUAUAUGCUGUGCUAUCUAGAUAAGUUUUUAUAAAUUGUUUUAGGUCUAUUUUCACUAGAGAAAUAGAACAAACUGAUUGGACUAUACAUGUAACACAACAAAAAAACUUAUUUUAUCGAAAAUGCAAUGAGAAAACAAACUUUUUUUGGCCGUUGAUGUAUCACGUGUGCCACGAUUAUGAAUUGGAAUUGGCUGCAGGAUUAUAACUUGGGUUAAACUGUGCAAUUAAUCAUGCAAAUGAGAUUCUUCAUGAUUCUUAAGUACUACAGAGAAAUUUGGUUGUUAAAUGUAAAUGCAUAUUGGACAAUAUUAAUGCACUUGACUAUACAUUCCUAGAUAGAUCGUUGAAAACAUACCAUUCAUUCUAAGAAGCCAAGGGAAAAGUGUAGGUAGGCAUAAAAAGACGGUAUAGAAAUAAUUUUAAGCCAUGGAUGGUCCUGGAUAUUCUCUGAAGCUCUGUUCAGUCAGAUCAGAAGGAUAUAAUAUCAGGAUACUCUACAAACGAAAAUAGAUGCCAAAAACCUUUUUUUCGCAUUAAGGCAAUUGAACCCUAUACCCGGACCUUAUAUCCUAAGGUUACUUUUGUUUCGCUCUGUUUUCUAAGAAAAGAAUUUUGCAGAAAGACAUUUUUCAUUGCUCUUUAUAUCUCAGCCUGCUGAGGUUCUGCUAUGCUUUUGAUCUGUUGGUCAAUGGUUAGGUUUUCACUUGCACCCCUUUGUUAAAAUCUGUCCCUAUUAAAGUAUCACAUUUUUGUCUAUUUUCAGCCUCCUGCUUUCCUAAAUUACUAUAUUUUUGCUUUUGGUAGGCGAGGAUUUUAUAUUAUUUUUUUAACAACUCAAAUUUGGAUUCUAUUUAACAAUUUGUUAAUUAUUUUAUUUACACAAAUAUAUGAAACUAAUUAUUGUAGACAAGUUAUACGUAAAAGAUUGCGUUUGUUUUUAUAUCAAUUUCUACAUGUAAGCUUGUAACAAUCAAUUCUUUUUCUACUGCCAAAAUUAAGUUUUGAAUGUUUCAUCGAU